AUUGAACGCUGGCGGCAGGCCUAACACAUGCAAGUCGAGCGGAUGAAGGGUGCUUGCUCCUGGAUUCAGCGGCGGACGGGUGAGUAAUGCCUAGGAAUCUGCCUGGUAGUGGGGGAUAACGUCCGGACACGGGCGCUAAUACCGCAUACGUCCUGAGGGAGAAAGUGGGGGAUCUUCAGACCUCACGCUAUUAGAUGAGCCUAGGUCGGGUUAGCUAGUUGGUGGGGUAAAGGCCUACCAAGGCGACGAUCCGUAACUGGUCUGAGAGGAUGAUCAGUCACACUGGAACUGAGACACGGUCCAGACUCCGACGGGAGGCAGCAGUGGGGAAUAUUGGACAAUGGGCGAAAGCCUGAUCCAGCCAUGCCGCGUGUGUGAAGAAGGUCUUCGGAUUGUAAAGCACUUUAAGUUGGGAGGAAGGGCAGUAAGUUAAUACCUUGCUGUUUUGACGUUACCAACAGAAUAAGCACCGGCUAACUUCGUG
rnacentral:rRNA from 1 species